GGUGCCAUCGUUUAGUGGAUAAGACGCGGUCCUGCGAAGACCGAGACACAGGUUCGACUCCUGUUGGUGCCA
rnacentral:tRNA from 1 species